rnacentral:ribozyme from 11 species
UCAUAUCUGAAAGUUAUCCGUCGCUCCUUUCCUUUCUUUCUUUCUCUCUUCUUUCCUUCCUUCUUCACCAAAGGGGGCACAGCAGGUCAACCGCAGAUGCUGCACGUGAAACGACAGUCGGCGAGAACAUUUACCCAUUUGCCCUCCUUCCUUCUUUCUUCCUUUAUGCCAGCAUGAAGUCGGACAAUUAAAACAAAAAAAA